CCUACGGGAGGCAGCAGUGGGGAAUAUUGCACAAUGGGGGAAACCCUGAUGCAGCGACGCCGCGUGAGUGAAGAAGUAAUUAGUUAUGUAAAGCUCUAUCAGCAGGGAAGAAAAUGACGGUACCUGAGUAAGAAGCCCCGGCUAACUACGUGCCAGCAGCCGCGGUAAUACGUAGGGGGCAAGCGUUAUCCGGAUUUACUGGGUGUAAAGGGAGCGUAGACGGCAGUGCAAGUCUGGAGUGAAAGCCCAGGGCUCAACCCUGGGACUGCUGUUGAAACUGCCGGGCUGGAGUGCAGGAGAGGUAAGCGGAAUUCGUGGUGUAGCGGUGAAAUGCGUAGAGAGUAGGAGGAACACCAGUGGCGAAGGCGGCUUACUGGACUGUAACUGACGUUGAGGCUCGAAGGCGUGGGGAGCAAACAGGAUUAGAUACCCUGGUAGUC
rnacentral:rRNA from 1 species